AUACGGAGGGGGCUAGCGUUGUUCGGAAUUACUGGGCGUAAAGGGCGUGUAGGCGGAUCGAUCAGUCAGGCGUGAAAGCCCCGGGCUCAACCCGGGAAAUGCGCUUGAAACUGUCGAUCUUGAGUUCGGGAGAGGGUAGUGGAAUUCCCAGUGUAGAGGUGAAAUUCGUAGAUAUUGGGAAGAACACCAGUGGCGAAGACGGCUACCUGGACCGAUACUGACGCUGAUGCGCGAAAGCGUGGGGAGCAAACAGGAUUAGAUACCCCGGUAGUCC
rnacentral:rRNA from 1 species